rnacentral:rRNA from 1 species
UACGGAGGAUGCGAGCGUUAUCCGGAUUUAUUGGGUUUAAAGGGUGCGUAGGCGGGACCUUAAGUCAGCGGUAAAAUUGCGGUGCUCAACCCCGGCCUGCCGUUGAAACUGGCGGCCUCGAGUGGGCGAGAAGUAUGCGGAAUGCGUGGUGUAGCGGUGAAAUGCAUAGAUAUCGCGCAGAACUCCGAUUGCGAAGGCAGCAUGCCGGCUCCACACUGACGCUGAGGCACGAAAGCGUGGGUAUCGAACAGG